GUCUAUACAUGCAAGUCGAGCGGACAGAUGGGAGCUUGCUCCCUGAUGUUAGCGGCGGACGGGUGAGUAACACGUGGGUAACCUGCCUGUAAGACUGGGAUAACUCCGGGAAACCGGGGCUAAUACCGGAUGCUUGCUUGAACCGCAUGGUUCAAUUAUAAAAGGUGGCUUUUACCUACCACUUACAGAUGGACCCGCGGCGCAUUACCUAGUUGGUGGAGUAAUGGCUCACCAAGGCAACAAUGCGUACCCAACCUGAAAGGGUGAUCGGCCACACUGGGACUGAAACACGGCCCAAACUCCUACGGGAGGCAGCAGUAGGGAAUCUUCCGCAAUGGACAAAAGUCUGACGGAACAACGCCGCGUGAGUGAUGAAGGUUUUCGGAUCGUAAAACUCUGUUGUUAGGGAAAAACAAGUACCGUUCGAAUAGGGCGGUACCUUGACGGUACUUAACCAAAAAGCCACGGCUAACUACGUGCCACCACCCGCGGUAAUACGUAGGUGGCAAGCGUUGUCCGGAAUUAUUGGGCGUAAAGCGCGCGCAGGCGGUUUCUUAAGUCUGAUGUGAAAGCCCCCGGCUCACCCGGGAAGGGUCAUUGGAAACUGGGGAACUUG
rnacentral:rRNA from 1 species